UUGAACGCUGGCGGCAUGCCUUACACAUGCAAGUCGAACGGCAGCACGGACUUCGGUCUGGUGGCGAGUGGCGAACGGGUGAGUAAUGUAUCGGAACGUACCUUUCAGUGGGGGAUAACGUAGCGAAAGUUACGCUAAUACCGCAUAUUCUGUGAGCAGGAAAGCAGGGGAUCGAAAGACCUUGCGCUGAUUGAGCGGCCGAUAUCAGAUUAGCUAGUUGGUGGGGUAAAGGCCUACCAAGGCGACGAUCUGUAGCGGGUCUGAGAGGAUGAUCCGCCACACUGGAACUGAGACACGGUCCAGACUCCUACGGGAGGCAGCAGUGGGGAAUUUUGGACAAAGGGGGCAACCCUGAUCCAGCCAUGCCGCGUGAGUGAAGAAGGCCUUCGGGUUGUAAAGCUCUUUCGGCCGGGAAGAAAUCGCAUAGGCUAAUACCCUGUGUGGAUGACGGUACCGGAAUAAGAAGCACCGGCUAACUACGUG
rnacentral:rRNA from 1 species